GACGAACGCUGGCGGCGUGCCUAAUACAUGCAAGUCGAACGCUUCUUUCCUCCCGAGUGCUUGCACUCAAUUGGAAAGAGGAGUGGCGGACGGGUGAGUAACACGUGGGUAACCUACCCAUCAGAGGGGGAUAACACUUGGAAACAGGUGCUAAUACCGCAUAACAGUUUAUGCCGCAUGGCAUAAGAGUGAAAGGCGCUUUCGGGUGUCGCUGAUGGAUGGACCCGCGGUGCAUUAGCUAGUUGGUGAGGUAACGGCUCACCAAGGCCACGAUGCAUAGCCGACCUGAGAGGGUGAUCGGCCACACUGGGACUGAGACACGGCCCAGACUCCUACGGGAGGCAGCAGUAGGGAAUCUUCGGCAAUGGACGAAAGUCUGACCGAGCAACGCCGCGUGAGUGAAGAAGGUGUUCGGAUCGUAAAACUCUGUUGUUAGAGAAGAACAAGGACGUUAGUAACUGAACGUCCCCUGACGGUAUCUAACCAGAAGGCCACGGCUAACUACGUG
rnacentral:rRNA from 1 species